AGAGUUUGAUCCUGGCUCAGGACGAACGCUGGCGGCGUGCCUAAUACAUGCAAGUCGAGCGAGCUUGCCUAGAUGAUUUUAGUGCUUGCACUAAAUGAAACUAGAUACAAGCGAGCGGCGGACGGGUGAGUAACACGUGGGUAACCUGCCCAAGAGACUGGGAUAACACCUGGAAACAGAUGCUAAUACCGGAUAGCAACACUAGACGCAUGUCUAGAGUUUGAAAGAUGGUUCUGCUAUCACUCUUGGAUGGACCUGCGGUGCAUUAGCUAGUUGGUAAGGUAACGGCUUACCAAGGCAAUGAUGCAUAGCCGAGUUGAGAGACUGAUCGGCCACAUUGGGACUGAGACACGGCCCAAACUCCUACGGGAGGCAGCAGUAGGGAAUCUUCCACAAUGGACGAAAGUCUGAUGGAGCAACGCCGCGUGAGUGAAGAAGGGUUUCGGCUCGUAAAGCUCUGUUGGUAGUGAAGAAAGAUAGAGGUAGUAACUGGCCUUUAUUUGACGGUAAUUACUUAGAAAGUCACGGCUAACUACGUGCCAGCAGCCGCGGUAAUACGUAGGUGGCAAGCGUUGUCCGGAUUUAUUGGGCGUAAAGCGAGUGCAGGCGGUUCAAUAAGUCUGAUGUGAAAGCCUUCGGCUCAACCGGAGAAUUGCAUCAGAAACUGUUGAACUUGAGUGCAGAAGAGGAGAGUGGAACUCCAUGUGUAGCGGUGGAAUGCGUAGAUAUAUGGAAGAACACCAGUGGCGAAGGCGGCUCUCUGGUCUGCAACUGACGCUGAGGCUCGAAAGCAUGGGUAGCGAACAGGAUUAGAUACCCUGGUAGUCCAUGCCGUAAACGAUGAGUGCUAAGUGUUGGGAGGUUUCCGCCUCUCAGUGCUGCAGCU
rnacentral:rRNA from 1 species